GCGGUGGUAGUUCAGUAGGUUAGAAUGCCUCCCUGUCACGGAGGUGGUCGCGGGUUCGAGUCCCGUCCAUCGCGCCA
rnacentral:tRNA from 1 species